AUGCUUUUGUUGGCAGAAUAUAUGCUAAAACUCGAAUGAUAGAGAAGAUUAGCAUGAUGCCUGCACAAGUCAGUUUGGGGAUGAGGAGAUGUCUCCACAGUACAA
rnacentral:snRNA from 12 species